rnacentral:snRNA from 1 species
AUAAAUAACAGAUUCUUCUAGUU